GCUUACUGGUCGAGUGAUCUUGCGCGGAAAAUUUAACGGGGCUAAGCUUAAUACCGAAGCCAUGGAAACGUGCGGAAGCACGUUUGGUAGGGGAGCGUUCUGUCAGCUGGGAAGGUCGACCGUAAGGACGGCUGGAGCGGGCAGAAGUGAGAAUGCAGACAUGAGUAGCGUAAAACACGUGAGAACCGUGUUCGCCGUAUAUCUAAGGUUUCCGACGCCAGGUCAAUCCGCGUCGGGUUAGUCAGGGCCUUAGCUGAGGCCGAAAGGCGUAAGCGAUGGAUAUCCGGUCAACAUUCCGGAACCACUUAAGAUGAGUGAUGGAGGGACGCAACGAGGUAGGCCAGCCUGUGAUUGGUUGAACAGGUGUGCCUUAUGUCAGCCGUUGAGGUUUGUAGGCAAAUCCGCAGACCGAGGUGAGAUAAGGCAGCGAGCCCCUGAGGCGUAAGUGAGUUGAGCCUUGUUGCCAAGAAAAGCUUCUAAACGUUGAUUCUUAAGUGCCUGUACCGCAAUCCGACACAGGUAGAUGGGUAGAAUAUACCAAGGCGAACGGGAGAACCUUCGUUAAGGAACUAGGCAAUUUAGCCUCGUAACUUCGGGAUAAGAGGUGUCUUCUGGCGUAAGUGAAUAAUGAGCGCUGGAAGAUCGCAGUGAAAUGGUUCUAGGGACUGGUUAACAAAACCACAGGUCUCUGCAAAGCCGUAAGGCGAUGUAUAGGGGCUGACACCUGCCCAGUGCCGGAAGGUUAAAGGGAGAGGUUAGUUCCCCUUCGGGGGAGCGAAGCUUUGAACUGAAGCCCCGGUGAACGGCGGCCGUAACUAUAACGGUCCUAAGGUAGCGAAAUUCCUUGUCGGGUAAGUUCCGACCCGCACGAAUGGCGUAACGAGUGGAGCACUGUCUCAACGAGGGACCCGGUGAAAUUGAAAUACGUGUAAAGAUGCGCGUUACCCGCAGCAGGACAAAAAGACCCCGUGGAGCUUUACUACAACUUGCUAUUGCGUUAGGGCUUGGCUUGUGCAGGAUAGCUGGGAGGCAGAGAAGCUGGCGCGUCAGCGUCGGUGGAGCCGCCGUUGAGAUACCAGCCUGGCGAAGUUUUGGCCCUAACCGCUGGCCGUGAACCGGGAGCGGGACAGUGGCAGGUGGGUAGUUUGACUGGGGCGGUCGCCUCCCAAAGAGUAACGGAGGCGCCCCAAGGUUCCCUCAGGUUGAAUGGAAACCAACCGCAGAGUGUAAAGGCAGAAGGGAGCUUGACUGCAAGGCCGACGAGCCGAGCAGAGACGAAAGUCGGGCUUAGUGAUCCCACGGUACCGAGUGGAAGGGCCGUGGCUUACCGGAUAAAAGCUACCCCGGGGAUAACAGGCUAGUCUGGUCCAAGAGUUCACAUCGACGACCAGGCUCGGCACCUCGAUGUCGGCUCAUCGCAUCCUGGGGCUGGAUCAGGUCCCAAGGGUUGGGCUGUUCGCCCAUUAAAGCGGUACGUGAGCUGGGUUCAGACCGUCGUGAGACAGGUCGGUCUCUAUCCGCUGUGGGCGCAAGGAGGUUGCGAGGAGCUGCCCCUAGUACGAGAGGACCGGGGUGGACAAACCUCUGGUGUGUCAGUUGUAAUGCCAAUUGCACAGCUGAGUAGCCACGUUUGGCAGAGAUAACCGCUGAAAGCAUCUAAGUGGGAAACUUGCUUCAAGAUAAGUUCUCUAAUCAGAAAUGAAUAAGAUCGCACGGAGACUACGUGCUAGAUAGGCCGGAGGUGAAAGUGCAGUGAUGCAUUGAGCAAACCGGUACUAAUGAUCGAAGGCUUAGGAC
rnacentral:rRNA from 1 species